rnacentral:tRNA from 1 species
GAGGGUAUAGCUCAAGUGGUAGAAUGCACACUUAGUAUGCAUGAGGUCCUGGAUUCAAUCCCCAGUACCUUCA